CUCACCCCUUUUUUCAUGUUUGGGGGGUGUCUGUUUCCCUUCUCUACACCGAGUUGACCGAAAACGGGCUCUCCCUUCUGUGGCCUCUGCUCUGCCCCAGGAGG
rnacentral:lncRNA from 1 species